UCUGACACAGCUUUCAAAACCCAUGCUCAUUUUCUGCCUUAAGCAACGUCAGUGAUAAUGUUAGAUAAAAUGUGAUAGUCCACAGAUGCCAUCGGGUACACGUGUCCGGCCCCUUCCAGAUUUUCUAUAAAAUAGUGAAGGGCUCAAGUGGAAGUUGUUGAUUUGGACAUGCGCUGCCUGUUCUGUCAAUUCUUCUUUGUCAGGUGCCAGCCUUGAAGGGUUUUAUUGAUUGAAGGGAAUAUGUCCUCUAGGCCUAGUACGAGAAAUGGGAGAGGGAAGUAGGUGUGCCAGGAGUGAAAGGAACACUGAGGAACAGGAUCUAUACAACUGGCGCAAUAGCUUGCGGAGUCCUUGGCAAAUACCAAGAGAGACUCUAGGUGGGUGCGGCGGCCCUGUAGACCACCAACUAGUCGGAUCCGUUCCUUGUAGCUCGGCACCUCUUCCUGGCAGGGGUGCUUUCUCCACGCCAUUGUGUGCCAGGUGGGCUUCUUGGCCAUGGGUCGUACAGUUUGCUUGCAGUCAGACAGUUGCGGCUUAUGGGAAUGCCAUACGUGCGUAGUUGUCAGCACACAUGUCUUGAUGACAUGCCUCGGCUCGACAUCUUCUGUAAGUGUGCCACUUUUCUGGCAUGUUGUCUCGUGUGAGGGAAAAGCGCCAGACUGCAGCUAGAAAAGAAACACUUAAUUCUACAACACGGGGUGGACCAGGAGGCAGUGCAUGGUGAUUUGGAGGUCUACAGCAUCGCACAGCAGUAAAUGCACAGGGUUACCAUAUAAGCAGACAGCAGAAAGAAGAAAAUUGAUAGAAAAGUCGCACUUCCGCCCAAAAGAUGGCACAUCGAUUGCAACAGCAAUUAGUGGACAGCUAUAUAAAGUAAGAAUAGUAGUUCCAUCGGCCAUAUAGACUUGUAAACAUAGGCAUACUAACUAAAUUAACAAGUAAGGUGCCACUCACGCACAAGCAGACACAUCUCACUCGAUGACCGCGGGAACUCGGUGUCCGAGCGCUACAGUGAGGAAACGCAGCCGCAGCAUUGAGUGAAGUGACCUUCGUGCUGCCGCUCGCAUUAACGUGAACUAAGCUGCGAAAAUACAGCGCAGCAUGAACUCUGUACUUGUCGCAGAUGGCUUUCAAUUAACUCUUUCCUUACUGCCUCAUACAGCAUCGAUCACUACUGAUCGAUGGUUUUGAACACGACCUACUGCAUAAAAAAUACAGUAGGUCAUGGUUUUGAAUGCCCCGCCAAAAAUAAAACUCUGCACUGGAUACCUGGCUCCAUCUGGCCAGUAAUAGGAUAACUACUGCGCAUUUUAUAUUAUAUGUUUUUUGCGUUCACAGGUGCGAGGGCUUCUGCGGAAAAAAAAAAAAAAAAGCAGCGAAGGAGAUAGCGCGGAGUUUUCGCAAGAUGCCGCCGAAAACGCGUCGCGCGCCACUGAAGAAGUCUUCUCAAAGUGAUUCCGCUGCUUCUGAUGCCAAUAUUCUCGAUAUGAGUAGUAGUAAGGAGUCCAUAGGGGACAUUGGAUCAUUUGUAUUCGACUUUGACAGUGUAUGAUUCGUCUACGCAGUCCGAACUUUCAACUAGUGUGGCAAGGUCCAUAGCAAGGGUGUCAACUACAUACGGAGGCAAUAUUUUGCCAAACACAUGGUGCCGAGCCAAGUUCUCACCGAAACGUGCACCCGGCGUACACCCGGAUGCGACACGCCGGAGUGAGAAGCGGAGGUUAAUUUUUAGUGCACUGGACAAGUUCAUGUUUUUUACCACUGCCCUGAUUGCCACUUUCUGUGCACACACCAACAAGUAUGCGUGGAUGAAGAUUUUUGAGAAGCCCAGCUAUGCUCAGCCAGAUGGCUCUUGGCUAGAGGUCACGCCCCUAAGAAGUUGCGUUUCAUUGCACUGUUGAUUUAUAUGGGCAUUGUGCAACUACCUCGGCUCCAUUUGUAUUGGAACAUUGGAAUAAUCUACGGCAGUCUACUCCCAGAGAAGGUCAUGAACAGGAAGCAUUUCUUGUCCCUGCUUGCUUUUUUGCAUGUCGCGGACCCUGAGGAUGAUAGUGCUGCUUCAGCUGGCAAACUGAAUUCCCACUACUUCGACAGGUCAAUGAGGCGUCGACACAACUUUUUCAGCCACGGGAAGCCAUUUCAGUCGAUGAAAGAAUGGUGAAAUCUAAAGCACGCUUGGGAAUCGGGCAAUAUAUUCGUGACAAGGUGACAAAGUGGGGUUACAAAUUGUGGAUUUUAGCUGAGUCAGAAAACUGGAUACACACUGCAAUUCAUUUACACGGGCAAGUAGGAAACACUGGGACCGCAUAAAUUGACUUUUGAUGUAGUCGGUAAACUUUGCGACAAAUAUUUAGGACAGUUAUACAAAAUUUAUGUGAACAAUUUUUGUACUUCGAAGCACCUUUUCAAACAACUCCUUCCGUGAAAAACGCUGGCAAGUGGAACAACGGGAAAAGAUCGUCGAGGCUUCCCUGGCGAUCUGAAUGAUUCAAAAUGGGAAAAGAAAGCUCAACGUUGAGACAUUCGUUGGAUCAGGGAAGGAAACGUCUUAAUUGUUUCUUCAGUGGAAAGACCGUCGGGCUGUAAGUCUUGUGAGCACCAUUAAUACAGCCACUGAACAUGUCCCUGCAAACAGACGUGCAAAAGUGGGCAACAAAUAAAGCGAGAGGACCAUAAAAAAGCCCUUGUUGGUGCAUGAGUACAACGCAGGUAUGCUAGUCUUUGACAAAUCUGACCAGAUCAUUGGCACAUACAAUGUUCUUCAUAAAUGUGUGCGCUGGUGGAAAACACCGUUUUUCCACUGCAUAGAUAUUGCUUGUGCAAAUAGUUUCAUUCUAUUUCAAGAGCACCCUGAUAUUCCUGAGCUACGUCUGAGUGCCCGCUUUGACCAGCUUUCUUUCCAAGAGAUGCUCAUGAGGCAAAUUUUGAAUCUUGAUGAUCAAUCAGCCAGCAUAUCUUAUCUGCCACCCGACUGGGUUCGCCGCAAGCCUGAGAAGGUUGACAACCGAAGGAACUGCAAGCAGUGCCAUGAGAACACCAAGUUGCUGCAUGACCAUUGAGCUUCAGUCCCCAUUUACGGGCUGCUUGAGUAUUUUUCGCUAGGCUUUUGUAUUUGCGAACUAGCACUACCCGAGUAUGGCGACCUUCGAGUACACACUGACAGGCUUCGAUAACUUUCUCGAACGGUGGUGCUUCGCUUUCGUCGAGCCGAUGCCUGCACACUCGGGUGUGCUGCCUCUGUGGUCUGGUGCCGUCCUGCAUACUGGUGUUGCCUUGCGGUCACGUGUUCUGCAAGCUCUGCAAAGGUGAGAUCGGAAAUGAAGCAAUGUGCCCACAGUGCCCUUUCGACAGCUCGACGUUCUCCAACGCCAACAUUGUGACGCUAAACUUCUCGCAGUGCGACUUGGAACAGCGUCACGUUUUGCAGCACCUGUGAAGUGCACCUUUGUUUUACCACUACGCGUAACUGUUUCACCGAUUGGGACAUGCAUCAUGGGUGCUGAGGUCAAAGGUCGCCUGAAAAUGUACUUUUUUUACCUAGAGUGCUCAAAUUUUCAGGAAGUGUACCUGAGGACACGGACAAUCAUUUGUAUAUUCCAGUGUUUUUUUUUUUUAUUCUGUGUAAUCAAGUACAGUGGCAAUUUUGUACCUUCGCCUGUAUGUUUUCCUUCCUUUUCUUCAACUUUCAGAAAUAAAUAUUGAAAAAUGUGGAA